ACGGAGGUGGCAAGCGUUACUCGGAAUUAUUGGGUGUAAAGGGCAGGUAGGCGGCUAGGUAAGUGAGGGGUGAAAUCCCACGGUUCAAUCGUGGAACAGCCUUUCAAACUGCCUGGCUUGAGUGUGACAGGGGAAGAUGGAAUUCUCGGUGUAGGGGUGACAUCGGGAGAUGUGGGGAAGACCACCAAAAGCGAAGGGAAAAUUCUGAGUCACUUCUGCGGCUGAGCUGCGAAAGCCAGGUGAGCAAAAAG
rnacentral:rRNA from 1 species